CAGAGAGUAGUUUAAGUAGUAAAAUGCUGGCUUUGGGGGCCAGAGAUGGGAUACCCUCUUUGA
rnacentral:tRNA from 1 species